rnacentral:tRNA from 1 species
GAGAGAGGCUUGCAGCAACGAAAACUGCUAAUUUUCCCCACCCUGGUUGAAUUCCUGGGCUCACUCG